UUUACCCUUAAACAUUUUCUCUUUCGUUUUUCCAAUAUGCAAAAGGUGAACGCGCUCUGUUUUCUUCUUUCUCUCUGAAAACCCUAUCGCCGCCGACGAACCACCUUCUGCCUCUUCCUCCGUCACCUCACCUCCAAUCGAAGAAAGGAGGUCAUUUUUGUGUUCAUCAUCACGUGACCUUUAACCUGAACCAGUUGGAUUUUUGUAUUAGACAAUGUCAGUUUAAAUGCAUUAUACGACUCCGUGAACGGAGGUGGCGAUGUUUGGAUCAACGAGAAUCGCUUCCGCAUAUUGCGUCAGCUCGGAGAAGGCGGCUUCGCUUACGUCUACCUCGUCAAGGAAACUCCCAACGACUCUCCCGCCGGUGGCCUCGCCAAUAAACUCAAAGACUUCUCUCAUCUUUCCGGUUAUUGGAUGUGAAACAAGGUCAGAAUAAGGAAGGGAAAACUGUGCUCUACUUGGUUUUUGAGUACAUGGAUACUGAUCUCAAGAAAUUCAUCCGUUCUUUUCGCCAAACUGGCGAAAACAUCCCAUCCCCAACCGUCAAAAUACUGUUUGUUUGAAUUACUUUUUAGUAUCAGACUUGAUUGAUUAUUGUUGUUGUGUUCUUAUAAGUAAUUAGUAUUUUUUGUGGCUUUGAUUUCAGAGCUUGAUGUACCAACUUUGCAAGGGUGUUGCUUUCUGCCAUGGACAUGGAAUCUUGCACAGGUACACUUUAUAUAUCUCCCAGAAGAUAGAUUCAUAGAUUAUUCACUAGUGUGUCUAUUUACAUAACAUUGGACCUCUUUUACUAAAGGGACUUGAAACCUCACAAUCUCUUGAUGGACCGGAAGACAACUAUGCUCAAAAUUGCUGAUCUUGGACUUGCCAGAGCGUUUACUUGUUUAAAUCUAUGACUUUGUUCUCCUUUAAUUCCAGCCAGUUUGGCUGCUCUCAUAUACUUGCGUUCUGUUGAGAUGUAUGAAUAAUAUGCCUUCACAAAUUUUCAGGUUAAAGUCGUCACCGUCCAUGCCACCAAUAAUUACUUUGUAACUGCAUCACUUGACAGGCACUUGUCAGACUCAGGUCUGUUUUCAGACACUUGUCUGACUCAGUUUCUCUUUUGACCAAUUGGUAUUUAGUAUUAAAUUUUCUAUGGUUCGGGUAAAGUAUACUUAUAUCUCUUAGUGUUAGACUUAAACCCAAAUUCCAAGAGGGAUGAUGAGUUCUGUUUAGGGCCUAAUAGCGUCAAGAAGUUUCUAGAAGGCUAUAAGAAGUUGGUUGAGGCCAAAAAGGAAACAUGCAUGAACGUCAGACCAUGCCACAGUCUGGAAAGAGGGAGCUUAAGUUCCCAAAAUUCAACCUUAUAGGUAAUGGCUUGAUCUCUUGAUAAGCACACUUUAGUGAUUCAUUUGAGGAAGGACUUCAAUGAAGUUGUGGCAGUAAGAGGUGAUGGGACCAAUGAAGCUCCAGCUUUGCAUGAAGCUGAUAUUGGAUUUGCUAUGGGUAUUGCUAGAAUAGAUGUUUGUCCCAAUCUUAAUUCAUUUAUCUCUCUUAGAUGAUAACUAUCUUUUGUUGCUCCCAUUAAGAAUAAAUGUAAGAGUAGGACCACCAAAAGCCUUUACUUUAGAGCAUAUUUAGCCUCUGCUUUAUGAACGAGUGCAAUAAUUUUAUUUUUCUAUCAAAUAAUUAUAUACGGUAAAAAUAACUCAGAUACGUUUUUUUAGCAAAGAAUAAUGUUUGAUUCAUACAUCAUACCGUGUCAUUAGAAUGUUUACAUUUUAUGGAAUCUAUUCCUUUUUUUAGAAUAAUUGUUUAGUAUUUUUGAUGCUUUAGAAUUCAAAUAAAUAUUCUAAUUAUACAUUGGCUCUGAGCUGACUUAAUUAUACAGAUCAUGAAAUCUUUGGAGUUAAUAACUUGCAGGAUUCAAAAGAGUUGGAGUUUUUCACUGAGUAUGGGGAAGCCAACAAAUACAAGAUUUUUGAGAUUAUUGGAAAGGGUAGUUAUGGAGUUGUUUGUGCAGCAAUUGACACACUGGGGAAAAGGUUGCAAUAAAGAAGAUUUAGGAUGCCUUGGAGCAUAUUUCUGAUGUUAAUUUUUUUCUGACAGAAACUUAUUAUAUAGUCUUUCUUUAAAUUCAAAUCAGAAUUGGAAUCUCGAUAGAUGAAAAAGAAAUACAUAACGUUACAAAUAUAGUUGUUUGUGAUCGAUCAUUGACAAAUUUUAGCAACAUGUGUUUUACUAUGAUGCAGCAUCUACUUGGGAGAUUAGAAAUUUGAACACAGCAAUGGGAUCGAAUCUACCAAGAUGUUUGGUGACCCACACAUUAGAGAUACACUCUACAAACUGGCAUCGAUGGAAGAACAGCCAGUGCACAAAAUUUGAGAAGAGCAUCCCGUAUGCAUUGUUGUGUCAAGUGGUCUAAAGGAAUAUAUUGGAGCCAAUCCAGCACUCCACCAAAAAGAUACUCUUUUUUUGAAGUUGAAAGCCUUAUAUAAUGAAACUGCAUAAGACAUUGAAAUGAAAUAAUUUGAAAUUGAAGUUAAUUUAUACUCUUUUUUUCAUGUAUAUAUUAUAUAGUUUCAUAGCAAUUCUCAGCUAAACCUUACCUUGUGAAACUGUAGUUACAACAUUUGAUAUGGCCCUUUAUAAUGAAUUUGAUUCUAAUUGAUUUGUAACGGUAUGUUUUAUACUGGCCUUGUUUAGUAUUUAGUAGAAGAAUACAUAUCUAGAGACUGUAUAAAAUAUUUUU